UCAGCAUACAAUUUCAUUGUCCAUGUUAACGUCCAUGAGUCUCCCUCCUAAAACUAACCUGAGGGAAAAACUCGUCGCUCUAAAAAUCACCUCUGACGAUGUUGGAGGUUCAAACACCUUCAAACUUAUAUCAAACUACUCCUACUUAAUCCCUCUCUUAUAAUCUCAACUUCGUUUCUUCCAAUUCCUAACCUAAUUUCCAAAUCAACAUAAAAUGUCUAUGAACCCUAACAUUUCAAACCACACUUAAACGCGAAAUAAGCAUGAAAUAGAGCCUAAACCUUAGGGGCUUGGCUCCUUAGAGAUGAAGCUACAUCAUGGUGGUCAUUUUUGCAUGGACCAAAGAGGAAAAGGGAAGGAGCUUACUUGCUAGAGAAACUAUGGCGGCUCUUCCAGAUGUUGAUGUUGAGUACGAAGGUUCAGAGUCUUCUGCUUCUUCCGGUAACCUUUGCAACUUCUUCAAAUUCCUCCUUAUUCUUCUACAAACUUUCCUUAGUCUGUAGGUGGUAAUUUUUGUGAUUUGUUAUUGUGUGUUAUUGUUGAAUGCGUUUUGAGUGGGAGAGAGUAUAUUAGAGAGAUGAGUUGAGAUUCAGAGAGAAUUGAGAGGCGAAUUUGAGAUAUUUUUGUGGAGUGUUAUAGAAUAUGAUUGAUCAUCAAUGAUUGAAGAGGAUGAGGAUUGUAUAGAGGGUGAAUCCUAACUAAUAUGGGCAAUGAAAUCGGGCAGAGUUUGUUAUCAGUUAGGGCAGGGUUAAGUUUUAGUUAGGUUGAAGGGAAAGUUGUUAGUUAUGAACUAACAUUGUGAAAUUCUGUUAGUUAGUUUGUUAAGUUGGUUAGUGAAAUCAAUUAGGUGAAGUGUUUGAAUUGUGCGUUAGUUAACAUGCUAUUAAAUUUUGUUAGUGUUGAGCACAGUAAGAUUGAAGGUUAGUGUUAGUUAACUUUGAACUUUUGUUCAAAACUGUUAGUAUGAUGAGCUCAUGUUAGUAUUAUCAAUGUUAAUGAAUUUCCUACUGUAUUGCAAAUGUUUGAACGAAUCUGAAUUGUGAUGCUACUAGUUAUUGUUAGAGAUUGAAUGUUAUCAUGUUAGUAUGAAUUAGAUUGAGGUUAGUUGCUUGUCCUGUUUUAUGUUGAACUUAGUUGGUGAAUUAAAAUGAACUAUUAAUUAGUCUUCAGUUAAGUAAGUGUAGUGAUGACUAUUAUGUCGGAACUGAAUUAGUUAAUUAAAUAUAGGUUUGACAUUAUGUAGGGUUGUGAGUAAUUAAUAAGGAUAGGAAAUGUCAUAAUUUGUUAGUGAUGUUAGAAUGUCUGAAUUUGGAUUUAGUUGUGUAGUUAGACUGACUGUUAGUUUGAAUUGUGAGAAAGUGGCUAUUAACUAGAGUUAAUUCUUCUGGUUAGUUUAGAUUAGUCGAAUAUGUUAGCAUUGUUGUUAGUCAAGUUAGUUGGUGUUGAGAAUUGGAGAAGUUGAUUAAAUGUUAGUGAAGUGGUCACAUUGGUCAAGCGUGAGUUAACUUAGUUAGGACUGUUAGCUAAUGUUGUUUAAUUGUUAGGUGUUAGUGUUUGAAUUAACAAUUGCAGUGUUAGUUGUAUCUAAAAAUUAGAAGUUGAAUCUGGUUGGAGUUUAUAUGAAUGAAUGGUUGUAUUGAAAUUGUUAUGCAGUAUUGGGUGAACUAUUUGUGACUGUUUGUGUAUUGGUUUUUGUAUGGUUUACUUGAUUGUGUAUUGACCAUGUUUGAAUUGGAUGAAAUCUGUAUAUGAAUUGAUUUGAUCUCUCUGAUGUGUAUGGUGUUUUCUCCAUUGAUGCAGGGCUGGCCGUGAGUUGGGUAUUAGCAUUUUGGCAAAAAAUGAUUAAGGUGGAGUCUUGGCAUGGAAAAUGAAGUAUUGGGAAUGCAUUUGAAGUCCAUAAAAGUCCCUAUGAAGAAUCAAGAGAAAGUAGGCUUAGGGCAGAUUUAGGGGUAGUUUUGACAUUUGGUCAACUGUUUGGCCAAAAUUUCAAUAGUUGAUCAAAGUCAACCCUAGGUCAAAGUAACAUUUUUUGUAAAGAAUUUUGUAAUCUUGAUUUUGUUAUGAAAUUUGAAAGUUUUGUAAUGGAAAUAGCCCUCUUGGAUGAAUUGCAUCUUGUCUCUUUCAACUUAGAUUUUUCCCUCCAAAAUCCAAACUUUGAACAUUUGAAAUUGAA
rnacentral:lncRNA from 1 species